rnacentral:rRNA from 1 species
GAUGAACGCUGGCGGCGUGCCUAAUACAUGCAAGUCGAGCGAACAGACGAGGAGCUUGCUCCUCUGACGUUAGCGGCGGACGGGUGAGUAACACGUGGAUAACCUACCUAUAAGACUGGGAUAACUUCGGGAAACCGGAGCUAAUACCGGAUAAUAUAUUGAACCGCAUGGUUCAAUAGUGAGAGACGGUUUUGCUGUCACUUAUAGAUGGAUCCGCGCCGCAUUAGCUAGUUGGUAAGGUAACGGCUUACCAAGGCAACGAUGCGUAGCCGACCUGAGAGGGUGAUCGGCCACACUGGAACUGAGACACGGGCCAGACUCCUACGGGAGGCAGCAGUAGGGAAUCUUCCGCAAUGGGCGAAAGCCUGACGGAGCAACGCCGCGUGAGUGAUGAAGGUCUUCGGAUCGGAAAACUCUGUUAUUAGGGAAGAACAAAUGUGUAAGUAACUAUGCACGUCUUGACGGUACCUAAUCAGAAAGCCACGGCUAACUACG